rnacentral:rRNA from 1 species
AAAACUUUCAACAACGGAUCUCUUGGUUCUGGCAUCGAUGAAGAACGCAGCGAAAUGCGAUAAGUAAUGUGAAUUGCAGAAUUCAGUGAAUCAUCGAAUCUUUGAACGCACAUUGCGCCNUUUGGUAUUCCGAAGGGCAUGCCUGUUCGAGCGUCAUUA